GCUUAAGUGGGGUAGUGGUAACCUGGGUCGUUGCCAAGCAUUUAAAACAUGCGACGAACUCGACCCGCCCGGCGUUCGAUUCGCCGCUUAAGCA